GGAUGGGGCUUUGUACAAACUCGAGGCAAGUCCCCGCCCACUGUCCUUGGGGAGGAGGUGGGGUCACCCCAGUCUCUACACAGAUGGAGCAGAGAGUACUGAGUUCUCUUUAAUGAUGUGAAUCUGUGUCUUUUUAACCACCCUUUUACCCUGGAGGAGGAGUAGGGGGAAAGUCUUCCCAGAGAGAGAUCCCAACAGCAGGUUAGGUGCCUCCAUGGGAGGUCUUUGCGGACUGAAUAAUGGAGAUGAGGAAGCUGCCUCGGACCCAUGUAACUGGUUUGAGUCAUCCAGUCAUUCAUAAAUUCACUGAAGCUCUGCUGGCUUUGGGAAUUUACUGCACUUUUCUAGGUCUCGGGAAUACAACAGCGAAGAAAACGGACAUAAAUGGAACUUGAAUUCCAGUGUGGGUGGAGGGAGACAGACAAUAGAGGAGAUACAUCGUUGUAUUAGCUGGCGAUAAGUACUAUGGAGAAAAACUGGGAAAGAAGGUGAGGAAAUGUGAGGCACAGUGUAUGAAAGCUGCAAAAGGAAGAAACCAGCUGGUCUCAGUUUGCAGCAUUCGGGAUCCUUGGCUGCGACCUGUGAACUCUGAGUGGCCGCCUGUGGGAUCUAACUCCCUGAGCAGGAAUUGAACCCAGCUCCCCUGCGUGGGGAGCGCAGAGUCUUAGCCUCGGGACCACCAGGCAAGUGUCGAAACAGGA